rnacentral:rRNA from 1 species
CCUACGGGCGGCUGCAGUGGGGAAUUUUGGACAAUGGGCGCAAGCCUGAUCCAGCCAUGCCGCGUGAGUGAAGAAGGCCUUCGGGUUGUAAAGCUCUUUCGGCCGGGAAGAAAUCGCAUGGGUUAAUACCCUGUGCGGAUGACGGUACCGGCAUAAGAAGCACCGGCUAACUACGUGCCAGCAGCCGCGGUAAUACGGAGGGUGCGAGUGUUAAUCGGAAUUACGCAGCGGGAUGCGUGCGCAGGGCGUUAAAUCCCCGGGCUCAACCUGGGAACUGCGCUUAUGACUGGCAAGCUAGAGUACGGCAGAGGGGGGUGGAAUUCCACGUGUAGCAGUGAAAUGCGUAGAGAUGUGGAGGAACACCAAUGGCGAAGGCAGCCCCCUGGGUCGAUACUGACGCUCAUGCACGAAAGCGUGGGUAGCAAACAGGAUUAGAUACCCGGGUAGUC